AGCGAACGCUGGCGGCAGGCUUAACACAUGCAAGUCGAGCGCCGUAGCAAUACGGAGCGGCAGACGGGUGAGUAACACGUGGGAACGUGCCUUUUGGUUCGGAAUAACUCAGGGAAACUUGAGCUAAUACCGGAUAAGCCCUUAUGGGGAAAGAUUUAUCGCCGAAGGAUCGGCCCGCGUCCGAUUAGCUAGUUGGUGAGGUAAUGGCUCACCAAGGCGACGAUCGGUAGCUGGUCUGAGAGGAUGAUCAGCCACACUGGGACUGAGACACGGCCCAGACUCCUACGGGAGGCAGCAGUGGGGAAUAUUGGACAAUGGGGGCAACCCUGAUCCAGCCAUGCCGCGUGAGUGAUGAAGGCCCUAGGGUUGUAAAGCUCUUUCGGCGGGGACGAUAAUGACGGUACCCGCAGAAGAAGCCCCGGCUAACUUCGUG
rnacentral:rRNA from 1 species